ACGGCGGUUUAAACCGUAUCUAUGUAUAAUUAAAGGUGAAAAGGGAAAUUUUUAAAUCUUUUUCACGAUGCUCUCACGUUCAGUUUAUCAUUUUCACAGCUUUCUCUUCCAUGCUUUCUCUUUGAUGCUUUCUCUUCAUGAAUGAUGAAGUUUAAACGGAUUCAUCGAUUAAUUGAUUCAACGAUGCUUUCUCUCAAUGCACAAUCUUCUUCCUUACUGAUUUUUUCAUCGAUUCAGAAACUUAUACAGAGUUAUUCUUCAUGGUGCUCAAAGUUCAGAUUACUGCCUCGAGAAUCGAUUGUGAGGUUUCUAUCACGGAGUGUUAGCUUUGAAUCAUUAUUUCAUUAAGGAUCUCUCAGUCAUGAAGCUAGGGGUUUUGGUUAGUUAUCUUUAGUGCUCCAAAUAAAUAUGAUGUAAUUGGCAGAUUGCUGUAAUUUUCAACUCUCUAGAGGCCAAUGGGAAUUUACUGGUUACUUUGAUAUAUCCUCACAAGUUGAACCAGUGGCAAGCAUGGGGACAACACCUUGAUCUGCAUGUUUCUCCUCUCUUAGCUCUAGCAGCUACUGAGUGUCAGUUACUCGAAGCAGAAUAUGAGGAAUAUGCAAUUGCUAAUAGUAGUAGUAUCGCUUGUCUUCGAUCCGUUGCCCUAAUUGACUGAAACUUGCGGUUGAGAUUGGAACUCCAAAUAUUGCUAAAUCAGGUACUUCGUUUUGGCGCGAAGAGUAGUAGUUUUACAUUUGAAAUGAUAUUGAUGGGAAAUACUUCUAACUCUAAUUGGUUAUUUGGAUUUAUUUUGUGUUUUUUUUGGAUAUUUAUUACUCUCAUGGUCAUGCUGAAAUCUCAUUUCAAAAUGUCCGUGUACCUGCAAAGAAUAUUCCUUAUGGGAAAGGGCCUGGAUUUGAGAUUGCCCAGGAAGCGCUGUCUGAUAAAAACAAUUCGAUACAUGUCUCACAAAAACAGAAGACUUGCCAAAUCAAAGGAAGAAACAUUAAGAGAGCAAGGGGAACAAAAUAGUUUGGCAGGGGAAAGAAUGCAAAAGAUUCAGCUAAUAAAUAUACAAGCGGAAUUACAAGAUCAUCUUUCAAACACUUCAUUUUUUCUUGAAUUCAAUAUGAUUUUUUUUGUUGAAGUCACUAAUUCAAGAUGAAUCAACAGAAUCUAAUGUAUCAAUUUUUGACCAUAAGCAUUACUAUUUAUUAGUAUUAUAAUUUCACAAAA